rnacentral:sRNA from 1 species
GCUGGGUGCAGUGGUGCAUGCCUGUAAUCCCAGUGGUUUGGGAGGCUGGGGCAGGAGGAUCACAAGUUCAAAGCCAGCUUCAGCAAAUUAUUGAGGUCUUAAGCAACUUAAUGAGAACCUGUCUCUC